AGGGCUUUAGCUUAAUUAAAGCAUCUGGGUUGCAUUCAGAAUAUGUGAGGUUGUCUCGCAAGUCCUUA
rnacentral:tRNA from 1 species